rnacentral:misc_RNA from 1 species
CAUUCAAAUUUCUUUAUUAAUUUUUAAUAAAUAAUUUAUAUUAAAUAUAAAAAUAUAUUUUAAAAAAAAAAAGACGACAAGACCCUAUUAAAUUUUACUUAUAGUUUAGCUGGGGAAGCUUUUUAAUUAAAAUUUUUUAAAUUUAAUAAAUAAAAAUCUAAUAAAAUUAAAAUUUUAAUAAAUUACUAUAGGGAUAACAGCAUUAUAUUUUUUUAAAGUUCAUAUUAAAAAAAAAGAUUGUGACCUCGAUGUUGAAUUAUAUUUUCUAUAUUUAAUGCAAUAAUUAUAAAAGUAGAUCUGUUCGAUCUUUAAAAUAUUACAUGAUUUGAGUUCAAACCGGUGUAAACCAGGUUGGUUUCUAUCUUUUUUUAUAUUUUUCUAGUACGAAAGGACAAAAAAAUUUUUAUUUUAAUAAAUUAGCAAAUAAAUGCAUUAGAUUUAGAAUCUAAAUAUAUUUAAUAAUU